rnacentral:tRNA from 1 species
GCUGUGAUCGUAUAGUGGUUAGUACUCUGCGUUGUGGCCGCAGAAACCUCGGUUCGAAUUCGAGUCACGGCA